GACCUGGUGGUGGAUGGUCCACACCUGCUUCAUGUGGGCAACCCAUGGUUUGAAAUUGAGGAUACGCAGGAGUCCCCCGUUCGAUUUGGGGUCAGGUCA